CCUACGGGGGGCAGCAGUGGGGAAUAUUGGGCAAUGGGCGAAAGCCUGACCCAGCAACGCCGCGUGAAGGAAGAAGGCUUUCGGGUUGUACACUUCUUUUGUCAGGGACGAAGCAAGUAACGGUACCUGACGAAUAAGCCACGGCUAACUACGGGCCAGCAGCCGCGGUAAUACGUAGUUGGCAAGCGUUAUCCGGAUUUACUGGGUGUAAAGGGCGUGUAGGCGGGACUGCAAGUCAGAUGUGAAAACCACGGGCUCAACCUGUGGCCUGCAUUUGAAACUGUAGUUCUUGAGUACUGGAGAGGCUGACGGAAUUCCUAGUGUAGCGGUGAAAUGCGUAGAUAUUAGGAGGAACACCAGUGGCGAAGGCGGUCUGCUGGACAGCAACUGACGCUGAGGCGCGAAAGCGUGGGGAGCAAACAGGAUUAGAUACCCCUGUAGUC
rnacentral:rRNA from 1 species